rnacentral:rRNA from 1 species
UACGGAGGGAGCUAGCGUUGUUCGGAAUUACUGGGCGUAAAGCGCGCGUAGGCGGCUUUGUAAGUUAGAGGUGAAAGCCCGGAGCUCAACUCCGGAACUGCCUUUAAGACUGCAUCGCUUGAAUUCAGGAGAGGUGAGUGGAAUUCCGAGUGUAGAGGUGAAAUUCGUAGAUAUUCGGAAGAACACCAGUGGCGAAGGCGGCUCACUGGACUGGUAUUGACGCUGAGGCGCGAAAGCUAGGGGAGCAAACAGG